AACGUAGGGGACAAGCGUUAUCCGGAUUUACUGGGCGUAAAGGGCGCGUAGGCGGCCACCGCAAGUCAAUUGUGAAAUCUCCGGGCUUAACCCGGAAAGGUCAACUGAUACUGCGGGGCUAGAGUGCGGAAGGGGCAACUGGAAUUCUCGGUGUAGCGGUGAAAUGCGUAGAUAUCGAGAGGAACACCUGCGGCGAAGGCGGGUUGCUGGGCCGACACUGACGCUGAGGCGCGAAAGCCAGGGGAGCGAACGGG
rnacentral:rRNA from 1 species